GACGAACGCUGGCGGCGUGCCUAAUACAUGCAAGUCGAGCGCAGGAAGUCAUCCGAACCCUUCGGGGGGACGUUGACGGAAUGAGCGGCGGACGGGUGAGUAACACGUAAAGAACCUGCCCUCAGGUCUGGGAUAACCACGAGAAAUCGGGGCUAAUACCGGAUGGGUCAUCGGACCGCAUGGUCCGAGGAUGAAAGGCGCUCCGGCGUCGCCUGGGGAUGGCUUUGCGGUGCAUUAGCUAGUUGGUGGGGUAACGGCCCACCAAGGCGACGAUGCAUAGCCGACCUGAGAGGGUGAUCGGCCACACUGGGACUGAGACACGGCCCAGACUCCUACGGGAGGCAGCAGUAGGGAAUCUUCCACAAUGGACGAAAGUCUGAUGGAGCAACGCCGCGUGAACGAUGAAGGCCCUCGGGUCGUAAAGUUCUGUUGUAAGGGAAGAACAAGUGCCGCAGGCAAUGGCGGC
rnacentral:rRNA from 1 species